UGUUUAAGCAUGUAGGAGGAGUUGCCAGGCAAAUCCGGCAGCUCUUAACUCCGAGGUGUGAUGACGAGGCUCCACGCGAGCCGAAGUGAAUAACGCCCCGCUUCCAGGAAAAGCCUCUAAGCUUCAGAUCACAUUGGACCGUACCGUAAACCGACACUGGUGGGUGAGCAGAUAAUCUGCCAAGGCGCUUGAGAGAACUCGGGUUAAGGAACUCUGCAAAUUGAUACCGUAACUUCGGAAGAAGGUAUGCCUUCGACGGUGUAGGGAUUUACUCCCGAAGCUGUUGAAGGUCGCAGGUAAUCGGUAGCUGCGACUGUUUAUCAAAAACACAGGACUCUGCGAACACGCAAGUGGAAGUAUAGGGUCUGACGCCUGCCCGGUGCCGGAAGGUUAAUUGAUGGGGUUAGCCGCAAGGCGAAGCUCUUGAUCGAAGCCCCGGUAAACGGCGGCCGUAACUAUAACGGUCCUAAGGUAGCGAAAUUCCUUGUCGGGUAAGUUCCGACCUGCACGAAUGGCGUAACGCUGGCCACACUGUCUCGACCCGAGACUCAGUGAAGUUGAAAUCGCUGUGAAGAUGCGGCGUUCCCCGGCAAGACGGAAAGACCCCGUGAACCUUCACUACAGCUUUACACUGAACUUUGAACCUUUCUGUGUAGGAUAGGUGGGAGGCUAUAAAACUUGGGCGCUAGCUCGAGUGGAGCCAACCUUGAAAUACCACCCUGGGAUGUUUGAAGUUCUAACCUUGGUCCGUAAUCCGGAUUGGGGACAGUGUAUGGUGCUAGUUUGACUGGGGCGGUCUCCUCCCAAAGAGUAACGGAGGAGUGCAAUGGUACGCUCAGCGCGGUCGGUCAUCGCGCUCUAGAGUGCAAAGGCAUAAGCGUGCUUAACUGUGAGACAGACACGUCGAACAGGUACGAAAGUAGGUCUUAGUGAUCCGGUGGUUCUGUAUGGAAGGGCCAUCGCUCAACGGAUAAAAGGUACUCCGGGGAUAACAGGCUUAUUCCUCCCAAGAGUCCACAUCGACGGAGGAGUUUGGCACCUCGAUGUCGGCUCAUCACAUCCUGGGGCUGUAGCAGGUCCCAAGGGUAUGGCUGUUCGCCAUUUAAAGUGGUACGCGAGCUGGGUUCAGAACGUCGUGAGACAGUUCGGUCCCUAUCUGCCGUGGGCGUUGGAAACUUGAGGGUGAGCUGUCCUUAGUACGAGAGGACCGGGAUGGACGUAUCUCUGGUGUUCCGGUUGUCACGCCAGUGGCACUGCCGGGUAGCUAUAUACGGACGGGAUAAGCGCUGAAAGCAUCUAAGCGCGAAGCCCCCCCCAAGAUUAGGUUUCCCUGGGAACUCGAUUCCCCUAAAGGGCCGUCGGAGACUACGACGUUGAUAGGCUGGGUGUGUAAGUGCAGCAAUGCAUUGAGCUAACCAGUACUAAUUGCCCGUGAGGCUUGACCGA
rnacentral:rRNA from 1 species